UAAAAAAAGGAAAAUAUGUUAGCUUCUUUGAGAAGUCUCUAGGAGAGAGAAGAGAGGCAUCAUGGAAGCAACUUAUAUUCAUAUUUGACACUGUUCUCUACUAACAAACUGCUACAAUUAUCUUGCUCUUUCAGACAUUUCAAGGCCAAAGACAGAGCUUUUCACUUUUCAAGAAUCAGGAUUGUGACGGUUAGUAAGAAGGAAAGGACCCAAAGACAGAUUCAAAGCGGUUUUUUACUUUCUUAUUAGCUAUUCAUAUUUCAAGGACUCUGCUCAUGGGAGGUGGGUAAUUCGUGACUUCUGUCUACUGAUAGAAAAAACAAUAACU